AGGACGAACGCUGGCGGCGCGCCUAACACAUGCAAGUCGAGCGAGAACCAGGGCUUGCCCUGGGGAAAGCGGCGAACGGGUGCGUAACACGUGAGCAACCUGCCCCAAAGACCGGGACAACCCGAGGAAACUCGGACUAAUACCGGAUGCCCUCGCCGGGCCGCAUGGUCUGGUGAGGAAAUGGAUUCCGCUUUGGGAUGGGCUCGCGGUCUAUCAGCUUGUUGGUGGGGUAACGGCCUACCAAGGCGACGACGGAUAGCUGGUCUGAGAGGACGAUCAGCCACACUGGGACUGAGACACGGCCCAGACUCCUACGGGAGGCAGCAGUAGGGAAUCUUGCGCAAUGGGCGAAAGCCUGACGCAGCCAUGCCGCGUGAAUGAUGAAGGUCUUAGGAUUGUAAAAUUCUUUCAGUCGGGGACGAUAAUGACGGUACCGCAGAACGAAGCCCCGGCUAACUUCGUGCCAGCAGCCGCGGU
rnacentral:rRNA from 1 species